UACGAAGGGGGCUAGCGUUGCUCGGAAUUACUGGGCGUAAAGCGCACGUAGGCGGAUUGUUAAGUCGGGGGUGAAAUCCUGGAGCUCAACUCCAGAACUGCCUUCGAUACUGGCGAUCUCGAGUUCGGGAGAGGUGAGUGGAACUGCGAGUGUAGAGGUGAAAUUCGUAGAUAUUCGCAAGAACACCAGUGGCGAAGGCGGCUCACUGGCCCGAUACUGACGCUGAGGAGCGAAAGCGUGGGUAGCAAACAGG
rnacentral:rRNA from 1 species